UCCGGUUUGGCACCGGCAGUCCUCCCAGAGUCCUCGGCUUUACCCGGUAGCAACUGGGAGCGGGGGUUGCGCUCGUUGCGGGACUUAACCCAACAUCUCACGACACGAGCUGACGACAGCCAUGCAGCACCUGUGCAGGAUCUCCGAAGAGGGGCUCUCGUUUCUGAGAGCUUGCUCCUGCAUGUCAAGCCUAGGUAAGGUUCUUCGCGUUGCGUCGAAUUAAACCACAUGCUCCACCGCUUGUGCAGGCCCCCGUCAAUUUCUUUGAGUUUUAAUCUUGCGACCGUACUCCCCAGGCGGGGCACUUAAUGCGUUAGCUGCGGCACCCAGGGGGUCAAUACCCCGGACACCUAGUUCCCAUCGUUUACAGCGUGGACUAC
rnacentral:misc_RNA from 1 species